UUCCACAUGGUCUAGUGGUUAGGAUUCCAGCCUUUCACGUUGGCGGCCCCGGGUUCAAUUUCCGGUGUGGGAA
rnacentral:tRNA from 1 species